rnacentral:misc_RNA from 1 species
UUUCCAUCCACUUCAAGGACUGGUACUUGUCCAAAUGGCGUUGCUGAAAUAACAGACAUUCACAAUUGUGAUAUAAUGAGCAGAAGAAGCUUUGUGAAAAAACAUCAUUUAUGAAAAUACAAUAUUUGUGACAAAAGUAAUAGAAAUUCAGAAACCAAUAAUAAUGAAUGAUUCACGUAGAAUACAAAACUUUGUAUGGGUGGACUGUAUCGAAUUUGGAUUAGGUCGACUUACACGGCUUUAGUUUUGGCCAGUCUUCAAUUUGGAAGCGUGCAUCCUCGAAUUCAACGCCGCCAUAACUCAGAAGAAAUCGAAUUGUUUCGCCCAAGCCUUUGACGGGGAAUAGCAAGAAUUUUCACGUUUCUGGAAUUGCGAACUAUAUACAGCGGCGCGUGCUAGGAUUUCAUCUGUGUCUCUGGUCUCGCACAGGUCGUGCGUGUGGGAUCCGCAAGCAUUUCAGUGGAUCUGCGUUUUACGAGUCUCUAUUCUGUGUUUGCGUAUGCAAGUCUCUAAUUGUCAGCUGUACGUGGAACAAAUUGGAACAUGGAGCUAUUUUACGCGUUCGGAUUCAUAAUACGAGGGUCGUGCGAUCGAUUCUGCGCGGGAAUUUUUUUUUUGUUUUAUUUUUCAGCGUUUACGUUAUUUACGUAAUAAAAUGAAAUGAUGUCUGAUACGUUGUAUUCACUCAUAUUUCUACAAAAAGCAGAAAGCUUCUUUAUUUGAACAGGUGCAUAAUCAUCGAAAAUUUGGGUUUGCGAAUAUCCUUCCAGGAAGGGAUUGUAAUUAAUAAUAAAGCGAACAUGAAGACAUCGGAUAUAAAACUAGGUAAUUUUAUUUUCAUUCAUUUGAUGAAUCGCAUAUGUUGGGGUGAUAUUUAUCAUAAAAACAGGGGAAGCAGUAGUUGUGUUUGCACCUCGCACACGUUAUAAACGCUGCAUUUUUACAGUCACAUGGUUUUUUCAAAAUAUCCAUAGAAAAACAAACUUGGUUGCGUUCAUAAAAGAUUCUCUGUCAUCGGAAAGUUUGGCUGCGAACCACGCGUAGCACAACAUGUUG